GUUGUCUCCGAAAAUAAUGGGGUGUGUUUCAAUUUGAAAUGAUUAAUUAUAAAAAAGAAGAUGUGGUAUGAUUGCCGAUGAGACAAUUCUUCACAAGAGACCAAAAUGACACAGAAAUUAACAACUAUAGGUCAUUGUACAUGCUGUACGACCUGUUUCUUCACUGUGUUUGCGUUUUUCUUUAAGCAUGUUACUCGUACUUUCAC
rnacentral:lncRNA from 1 species